UGAGUAACACGUAUCCAACCUGCUGUCUACUCUUGGACAGCCUUCUGAAAGGAAGAUUAAUACAAGAUGGCAUCAUGAGUCCGCAUGUUCACAUGAUUAAAGGUAUUCCGGUAGACGAUGGGGAUGCGUUCCAUUAGAUAGUAGGCGGGGUAACGGCCCACCUAGUCUUCGAUGGAUAGGGGUUCUGAGAGGAAGGUCCCCCACAUUGGAACUGAGACACGGUCCAA
rnacentral:rRNA from 1 species